UACGGAGGGAGCUAGCGUUGUUCGGAAAUACUGGGCGUAAAGCGCACGUAGGCGGCGCAGCAAGUCAGGGGUGAAAGCCCGGGGCUCAACCCCGGAACUGCCUUUAAGACUGCAUCGCUUGAAUCCGGGAGAGGUGAGUGGAAUUCCGAGUGUAGAGGUGAAAUUCGUAGAUAUUCGGAAGAACACCAGUGGCGAAGGCGGCUCACUGGACCGGUAUUGACGCUGAUGUGCGAAAGCGUGGGGAGCAAACAGG
rnacentral:rRNA from 1 species